rnacentral:rRNA from 1 species
GAUGAACGCUGGCGGCGUGCUUAACACAUGCAAGUCGAGCGAACAGACGAGGAGCUUGCUCCUCUGACGUUAGCGGCGGACGGGUGAGUAACACGUGGAUAACCUACCUAUAAGUCUGGGAUAACCUCGGGAAACCGGAGCUAAUACCGGAUAAUAUAUUGAACCGCAUGGUUCAAUAGUGAAAGACGGUUUUGCUGUCACUUAUAGAUGGAUCCGCGCCGUUUUAGCUAGUUGGUAAGGUAACGGCUUCCCAAGGCAGCGAUGCGUAGCCGACCUGGUCGACGGGUCGCCGGCACUGGAGCUGGGACGCGGACCAGGCGCCUACGGGAGGCAGCAGUAGGGUAUGUUACGCAGUGGGCGGGAGCCUGGCGGAGCGAGGGCACGUGAGAGGCAGCAAUCUUCCGUGCGGGAAGCUCUGUUAUGGGGGGAAAACAAAUGUGUAAGUAGCUGUGCACGUCUUGACGGUACCUGCUCAGAAAGCACCGGCUAACUACGUG